rnacentral:lncRNA from 1 species
GAACUCUUCUUUUUUGGCAUUUAAAACUUUUAAUAAUCUAGCGCCUUCCUAUGUUUCUGGUCUUCUUACCCAUUACUCCCCUCCACACAUACGCCAGACCAGCCUUACUGGCCCUCUUGCUUUUCCUCUGUUAGUGUAGAAAUGACAGAGAAAGAAAUAGGUUUAAGGAUAAGUGAAAAGGUUGGUUUUACCGAGGUUGGUCUGGCCAUAUGCUAGGAACUCUGUGACAGGAGAUUCUAGAGUCUGGAGAGAAGAUUUGAAGGGGUACUAAUCAACGGAAAGGGCUUCCGGUUUCUUGGAGUUGAGAGGAAGUAGCCAGGCUCUGCUGAUCCUGGAGAUACCAAAUCUAACAGUGAGGUUGAAGGGAAACCUUUGGACUUUCUUGGAAGCACCUUUCUUCACAAGAAGAGAGACAUCUAAGAAGAUCUUGUAUAAUAUCAAACAUGAUUAAGACCUCAAUAUCAAGAAUUCAUAAAAAUUUGGUCUUCUACUCAGAGAAGGAAACAAAGAUGAAAUGUUUAGUGAUCAGUGAGGUGUCAGAUAGGCAUCCUGAAAAAUGGCAACUUUUACAAUAUCCUCCGACAAGCAUAUUGUGAGACUUCUUACUUUGCAAAUGACCUCUCUGGGUAAUGUGUGUUUAUAUCCAAAAUAAAGUUCUUUGCCAAAAUACA